UACGUAGGCAGCAAGCGUUGUUCGGAUUUACUGGGCGUAAAGGAUGCGUAGGCGGACAUUUUAAGUCAGAUGUGAAAUACCCGAGCUUAACUUGGGUGCUGCAUUUGAAACUGGGUGUCUAGAGUGCAGGAGAGGUAAGUGGAAUUCCUAGUGUAGCGGUGAAAUGCGUAGAGAUUAGGAAGAACACCAGUGGCGAAGGCGGCGCACUGGACCAUAACUGACGCUGAGGCGCGAAAGCUAGGGGAGCAAACAGG
rnacentral:rRNA from 1 species